ACUCAUACCUGGCAGGGGAGAUACCACUGUUGUAAAAGUGGUUUUCCUGGGGUAAGGCUCAUCUAUUGCAUUCUGGAUGUGCUGACCCCUGUGAUUUUCCCAAAUGUGGGGAAAUCAACUGCUUAAGUGGGGGACUAUGUUUGUGGUUUCCCCUG
ensembl:snRNA U1 U1 spliceosomal RNA